UUUUCAGAUUUGGAGGUAAAAUCCAUUUUAGCCUAUUCGAAAGCAUCUGUGUUUGUAUAAAAUAAGACACAAGGCAGUUUCUCUGUUCAGGGGCUGCAGCUUUCACUCUGUUUAAUUUUUAUUAGCUGGGAUCCCUUCCCUACUAGUUUUCUCUCUAAGUGUUUGUGUAGUCGUGAGGGGAAGUAGUGAAGGGAGGCUGAUGGGCCUCGCUUUGUCCGUCACAAAGACCAAGCUCACAGCUCUGCAUUGUACCUGGGAGCAAGUACACCCAGGUCUCAAGUCCGGGCGAUUGUUUGGUUUUAGUCUACCUCAUCAUAGAAACAGGAGUCUGGGCUGGGGAAGUUGGGAGAAUAGGCCCUGACUGUGUAAGCAAGCAAGAGCUGACAGCGUGUAGGAAAAUAGUCAGGAUGUCGUGGAGUGCGGAGAGGAGCUGGCCAGCUGGUGGAUGCAAGGACGAACUCAGGAAGGACGAGCAGACAGGCGGAGCCAGACCUGGGCUCCCAGCGGUCACCCUGAUGGCAGCGAUUCCCACGGAUGUUUCCAAGCCUUCCAGUCACAUCUCCCCGCGUGGCAGCUGCUUGUGACCCUGAGGAGCGCCGCCAGCCAGGGUCGUCUGUGACACCGAC
rnacentral:lncRNA from 1 species